AAAAUGCGAUAAGUAAUGUGAAUUGCAGAAUUCAGUGAAUCAUCGAAUCUUUGAACGCACCUUGCGCUCCUUGGUAUUCCUUGGAGCAUGCCUGUUUGAGUAUCAUGAAAUCUUCAAAGUAAAUCUUUUGUUAACUCAAUUGGUUUCUACUUUGGUAUUGGAGGUCUUUGCAGCUUCACACCUGCUCCUCUUUGUUCAUUAGCUGGAUCUCAGUGUUAUGCUUGGUUCCACUCGGCGUGAUAAGUUAUCUAUCGCUGAGGACACUGUAAAAGGUGGCCAAGGUAAAUGCAGAUGAACCGCUGCUAAUAGUCCAUUGACUUGGACAAUACUUUUAUGAUCUGAUCUCAAAUCAGGUAGGACUACCCGCUGAACUUAAGC
rnacentral:misc_RNA from 1 species